rnacentral:misc_RNA from 1 species
UCCGGUUUGUCACCGGCAGUCUCCCAUGAGUCCCCAACUAAAUGCUGGCAACAUGGGACGGGGGUUGCGCUCGUUGCGGGACUUAACCCAACAUCUCACGGCACGAGCUGACGACAACCAUGCAGCACCUUGAAGGGCGUCCGAAGAAGGGCACAUCUCUGAGGGUUUCCGGGUGAUGUCAAACCCAGGUAAGGUUCUUCGCGUUGCAUCGAAUUAAUCUGCAUGCUCCGCCGCUUGUGCGGGCCCCCGUCAAUUCCUUUGAGUUUUAGCCUUGCGGCCGUACUCCCCAGGCGGGGCGCUUAAUGCGUUAGCGUCGGCACGGGAGGAGUCGACACCUCCCACACCUAGUGCCCAUCGUUUACGGCGUGGACUAC